UCUCCCUGCUCCCGCUACGCCCCUCAUCAUUUUUCGCAUGGGCGUGCGCUGAACUUUCCUCUUGGUCACGCACGUGCAAGUCAUUAGCGUUGCAGCGUCUGCUAUCAAACCUCAUAGAUCAGCGUGGCGCGACACCCAUGCUUUGACUGCAGUGCUGCGUUUCUCUGUCUUCGCUCCUGCGUGUUCUCAGCGCGCUGCGGGUGUACGUCUAUUAUUGCAUGUUUUCCCCUUCCCUUAGAUCCGCAUCCGCUUCCCAUUCAGCAAUCGUGUGUUUGCUUGGAGUGCCACGUCUCUUCGGUCUGUGGCGCGCACAAUCGUCUCCGUGCCGGCUCUCCUCUCUGCUUCAGAGCUGGGCCAGGCACGUGUUGCUUGUCUGCACCUUGGCUUAGCUGCGCCCAACGCACGCACACCGACAUACACUCACGCCGGGACUCCUCACUCCUUUUCCCUUUCUCGUCCUCGACAGCCACGCGGAGGCGGAAGGAAAGGCGAGUGAGAGACGGUGGACAACCCCCCUCCCCCCAACAAAAAAAAACGAAGGCGAAUAGAAUGACACCAUAGAAGCGAGAAAAAGAAAGGCGAACAAGCACCAGGCGACGACCACCACCCAGCCGACAAGAGUAUUGCCAAGCGACGGUCGCGCCCGGGCUCUGGUGUAGGUGGAGUCGACUGCAUAGCGGUCUCAUCAGACUCUCUUUCCGCUCCGUUUUCUUCGCAGCGCGCACGCGCACUGUGUGCUGGGUAGUGACACGACGGGCGGCAUCCGCUCCUCUCUCCCUGAUUGCCAUUUUCGAUCCACCAACUCCGUUCUCCGUAAUAAUCACUUUAUCUUAUGCGUGUAAUGAGCGAAUCCAUCUUGCUCGGCAAAGCAGAGUUGCUCGCCUGGGCCGCCAGCGUCACUGGCAUCUCUCCCUGCGACAAGUACGGCGACUUGAAGGAUGGGCUCAUCUACCUCGCCUUGACACGGCAGCUUUUCCCUGGUGAGAUCGACAACGCUAUUGUGCGCCUACAGCGGCGCGGUACCCGUGAUGCUGCCAAGAACUGGUCUCUGCUCACCAGUUGCCUUCGGCGCCAUGGGAUCCCGACCCACUUGUGCAGUCAACAGGCUGUUGAGCGCGGACACACGCGGUACUGCUUCAACCUGCUGGUUCUCUUUUACUUCCUAGUGCGCUUAGCCCGAGGCCAUCAGUUCGCCGUGGACUUUGCACAGCCGGUAGAUCCUCAGCUAGCUGCUUUUCUGCAGUCCCCCGAAAGCGUGCUCGCCGUGGAGCGCAGAGUGGACAUGGGCUUCAGCGAGUGCAGCAGCAGCAAUGUGGGUGUGUCCGCCAUAGACGAAGAGGAGGCGGGUGGGCAAGCGGACUCUGGUGCCCCGCGCAGCGUUACCCGUUUGUCAUCCCCUCCAUCAGUUGCCACAGCGCCCACGACGGCAACGCCGGCGGUGCCGCUGAGACUGCCUCUCCGCUCUACCGCUUUAUCAGCUGACACCUCUUCAAAUCAUGUCGCCCCACCGCUGCGGUGGAUGUGGGCACACGAGCAGAGCUCGGCACGCGCUUUCCAGGAUGCCGGUGCUUGGCGCGCACCCAGCAGGUGUAACAAUAGGGGCACGGAAUAUUCUAAGCACUCGCCACGCGGGGCUUGCGACUCGACGUUAGUCCAUGGCGCGGCACGCGCACCUGCAACUUCUGGCGGCGAGCUCGUCGCGGCAACGCUGCCGCCUCCAUCCUCUCUCUUGCGCCCCUCUCCAUCCACUGCGUGCGCUCCUCACCUUUACACGCAGAACCAGCUGCUAAGGGAGGAACUGGAGCACGUCAAGGCAGUCAGCCAGCUGCUUCUAACGCAGCAGCGCGGGUCGGAGGCGGCGGUCGAGAUGCGCGCGUCUGCCACUCUGCACAAUCAGCUAGCAAAGGCAGAGCUCGACCAUCUACACGCCAUUCGACAGUUGGAGGUCACACUGACAGCGGCGUCAGUGCACGAUGGCGGCGCCAACGCUGCACCGUCGCCGCAACAAUGGGCAGCACUUGCGCAUCGAGCGGAGGCUGCAGAGGCCACUGCGGUUCAGUUGUAUCGCGAAUAUCACGAAAGCCAGCAAGUGUACGACUCCACGCUGCAGCAGCUUCGUCAGGUGUUCUGCUCCAUCGCGGAUAUUGCGGCAGCGACUCUCUCGUCAAUGCCAUCCAACUCCGACAGCGCAGAUGCUGCCGCGUACGAGGAGACCGUGACAGCUGCGAUGAUGGCGCAACUCACCGGCGUGCCCGCUAUGCGAAAGGAUGCAUUUUGUGCACAGAUGCGCGCGCUGCUACUGACGUUGAGCAGCCUACGUAGCACAAAUGCACGUCUUCAGAUGGAUGCAGCAUCGGUGUCGCCCUAUCGUGACUCCGGCGAUGCGACAAGAGAUUGCGCGUCGAGCUUCAGCGCCUUGCACGCAUCUUCUUCUCUCCCGCUCGAGCGAGAGAGUCUCAAGAUGGCGUGCGCAGAGGCCCGCAACGCCUGUCACGGUGCGAACCCGGUCGUGCAGCGCGCCUUGCAACGCCUCACGCGUCUUGUCGACAUCCUCAGCAGUGCCCUUGACGCGGCGCGCCAGGACCGAGAUAGGUGGGAGCGGCGGUGCCGGCGCGCGGAAACCGCUACCGCCCAAGCCGAUGCAGCCUCACAGGGAGCGCGUGCAGAGGGUGAGGCGCAGUGGCAGCAGGACUUGGUAGCGCACACUGUAGCCUCUAGCACCUGCAUAGACGAGCUUUCUCGGUUGUCCCGGGAGCGUUGUGUGCGGGCAGCGCAAGCCCAUCAGGAGAGCCAAAGUCUCUGCAGUCAGGUACAGGAGGUACUUGCAAUGGUGUUCUCCACAGCUGGCACCCACGAAGUGCAGUGGGCAAGCGAUGAGCUGGUCGCAUUGCUAGGCGCGUACGCCAGAGACCGAGCAUCAAAUCCAGCCAUGGAAGAAGCACUUGCCGAGCAAGCAGAAACCAUAGCCGCGUUGCGGGCAGAUCUUCGGCGGCAGCGGGAGGCGCGGGAGCGAGCAGAGGCGCAGUUGAGCGAUGGCGAGCGACGAAGACAGGUGCUGGAGCGCAAGGGUGCCGCACGACAGGCCCAGCUUCGCAGCGCCACCGAGAAGCUCGGAACGCAGAGGAAUGACUCUCAAGCGCACGCAGCGACGCUGCACCGUGCGCUGCUGGAAGAGACCUCCACUACUUCAUCGACCGCACUCGCUAGUACACCGCUCGCAAAGCCCUCCGCGGCUGCCACACGUGGCACACAAGAGCACAUUGCAGCCAGUGGCGCGGCACCGUUGACAGAGGCUUCUCGCCACGCAGAGAGCACGCCGUACCGCAGUACAGCUCAUUCGCUGUACUCUUCACCUCACCUGACCGGCGCCUUACGCUCCCCCGCUACGCCCGAUGACGACAUGGACAAUGCCGAGGAGCGCCGUCUAAUCGAUCACCACCACCGCUUUCAGAGCGGCUUGCACAAGCAACACGCCUCGCCGUUGCCUUCUCCGUUAGCCUCGGCCUCGUUGCCUUCCUCUAGAGCCACCACUGCAGAGGCUGAUGUACCGAGGGCGCUAUCGACGGAGCGGGUCGCUGCGAGGGCCGGCCUAGCUGCGCCGACUGCUUCGCCGGCCAGAAGCACGCGGUCAUCGACGGAUCACCCCGCAGCUGCCUCGGCCCCGUCACUCUUGCUGUCAGCGGCGGAGCUUGAGCGGCGGAAGCAAGCGAUCUUGCGCAAGUACGACGCUGCAUAACUCUGCGGAGAAGCGGAAGAAGAGGUUUUGAAAGAAGAGGGAAUCGACUGCGGUUGCACGCUCCCGAUUUUUCAAGCAGCCAGUUGAGGGCGGUGCAUGCGAAUACACCAGCGCACGCCCACUCAGCGACACACACACACACACAAACAUGCACAUGUGUACAUUCAUACACACCGACACGGAGGUGAAAAACUCAAUGCCGUCGUGCUCGGUAUGAUGGUGCGCGAUCUCCCCUGCCUCUCCAUCCCUCCCCCUCCCUGCCUCCACAGCUCACAUCGCACCCGAACAAGCGCACAAGAGCUGAAGGAAACGAGACAUGGAGAGGCAGCAAAGCGAAAACGAAAAGCGUGGCCCACCUGCUCUUCGCCGUGGGGGCCACACAGACGCACUUCACAGCACACUGCCGUGAACGGAUAUCGAUUAGCAACAUAGCAGAAGAGGCAGCCACAGGAAAAGGCGACCAUACUGAAGGAGCGCGUGCACAACCACCGCAUCAUGCUUUCCUCCCUCUUCCUGAUUUCAACGUCUGCAUCGCCGCCUGGUGGAAGUCGGGCUGCGGAUGUGCUUCACUCUUCAUUCCUUCCGCCUCGCACCUUUGCUCUUGUGCAUGCUGUUUUUUUUUCCAUGUUGUUCUUCCCCCUCUCUGCCUCCAUU
rnacentral:misc_RNA from 1 species